UACGUAGGGAGCAAGCGUUGUCCGGAAUCAUUGGGCGUAAAGCGCGCGUAGGUGGCCUCAUAAGUCCGCUGUGAAAGUCAAAGGCUCAACCUUUGAAAGCCGGUGGAUACUGUGAGGCUAGAGUACGGAAGAGGCGAGUGGAAUUCCUGGUGUAGCGGUGAAAUGCGCAGAUAUCAGGAGGAACACCUAUUGCGAAGGCAGCUCGCUGGGACGUAACUGACGCUGAGACGCGAAAGCGUGGGGAGCAAACAGG
rnacentral:rRNA from 1 species